UCUACAACAUAAGUCAUUCAACAGUUCACCCAUUUUCCCAAGUUUUGAAAUCCCUAACAUCAUUUUGUUUCAUUUCGAUUUUAUUGCAUCGCCUAGAUUCCUUCUCUUCCCCGUCGUCCCCGAGCUCCUCUGCCGUUGUCUCUUUCCCUUUCUUUUAGGUCUUCAGCGUCCAGAGACCGGACAUUCGACCUUGGCAUCGAAAAGCUUCAGAUGCUGUUAUUGUUCAAAAAGGAAGCAGCUAUUCUGGUUGAGGGCUUGUUUUCUGAUCAUAAGAGCCUAGUGGAAGCAGUGAAAAAAGUUGAUGUUGUAAUUUGCACCAUGUCUCGGGUUCAUUUCUGGAGCCACAACUUUUUUUUUUUUGCAGCUGAAGCUUAAGGAGGCGAUCAAAGAAGCUGGAAAUGUUAAGGUACGAUUGUUAUUUGUUGGUUAUCGGUACGUGUUCUUGACCUUAUAGUUGUUAGCUUUAGCUGUGGAAUUUUGAUUGCUAUAGAAGCAAUUAACAUAUUCUACGCCAUUGAAAUUAACAUAAUAUAUUCUGAUCCGAAUCCAAUCCCUUUGCUUCUGAUUAAUUAUAUGAACAUUUGAUAAAAAAAUUUACAAUGAAUGAUGUUCUUGAUAAUUUAUAAUUACUUUGCUACAAUAGUUUUGUUUCUCUAUUUUUAUAUAAUGAAUAAUUAACCCAGCUUUUUUUAUAUGCACUUAUGGUGCUCUUAAAAGAUGUUCUGUAGAAUUUAUUUGUUAGAUAAAUAAUGAUGAAAUGUUUUCAGAAUUUGUAACCUGUUGCUACUGUAGGAUUUAUUUCUCAUGCUUUUGUGCUAAAGUUUUCUAUGCCUUCAACUCUUUGUGGGAUUGAUGCUUUCAUGAGAAGUGACUAGAAUCGUUGUGCUCAUAAACUUCUUUCUGCGUAUAUAGAAGGCCAAAUUGGUGGUUGUGAUGAAAUGCUUAGAUAGUUAAUGGAAAUCUAUGGACUGCUUCAUGCAUCCAGGUAUUUAUUUUCAAGUAUGUAAGUUUAUCUGCAUUAAUUACUUGAGCUAUUAACAUCUGAUAGAUUUGGUUGCAUAAGUGCCAUAUCUUAGAAAGUCUUUACUGGUGAUAUCCUUGGUGAAAAAUGAAGAAAAUUGAAACAACAUCGCACUGAAUUUGUCUUUCAUUUGUUUAAAGGUAAGAAGUUUAAUGAUUAAGGAAUUUGGUGUGGUGAUACAAGAAUUGUUGCUGGUGUAGUGUUGAAACACUUGCAGUGUUGUUGAUUUAGUAUUGAUGGGUUUGAUAUGUACUGCUGAUUAUGGUCUGUCAUUACAAUCUGGAGGAGAAUUAAAGCUUGAAGGGUAUGUGGAUGCUGAUUAGGCCAGUAUUUCUGAUCGUCGUUCUACUAGUGGCUAUUGUUUAUAUCUUGGCUCCAAUCUAGUUCAAUGGAGUUCCAAGAAACAUGUUGUUGUGCUCUCAUCCGCUGAAGCUGAAUAUCUGGCACUUGCACAGGCUUCUAUUGAGGUUGCAUGGAUGCAAAAUCUGUUUUAGGAACUCAGUAUCUCUGUCACUGCCACUCCCAUACUUUGGUGUGAUAACACUAGUGCUGGUGCACUAGCUUCUAAUCCAGUCUUCCAUGCUCACACAAAACACAGAGAUCGAUGUUCAUUUUGUGUGAGAAAUGAUUGCCUCUAGACGUCUGACUGUUCCAUAUGUCUCUAUUGAGUUUCAAACUGCUGAUCUUCUCACUAAGCCACUCUCCGGUCCUCGGUUUUAGCGGUUACGAGAUCAUCUCACCAUUCUUCCUAUUGCAGGUGUUUCUACUUCCUCUUCUUUUAAUUAUGAUAAGUCUUCUUUGUCCUCCUCAAAUGCAAGUUCAAUCUAAGGGACGAUGUUAGCAGUCAUCCAGAACUUGCUUUGAGGGACGACAAGAAGUUUAAUGAUUAAUAAGAAGUUGAAGGAAGGAAUUUGGUGUGUUGAUACAAGAAUUGUUGCUGAUGUAGUAUUGAAACACUUGCAGUGUUGUUGAUGUAGUAUUGUUGGGUUUGAUAUGUGUUGCUAAUGUAGUGUUGAAAUGCUUGAAGUGUUGCUGAUGUAGUAUUGAUGGGUCUGAUAUGUAAUUACUGAUGCAGUGUCAGUGUGUUUGAUAAGAAGAUUGAAGUCUUGUGGUGUGAUGAUAGAAGUUGAAGUAUUGGUGUGUUUAAUUGCUACUGCAAUAUUGGUAUUUUUGAUAAGAAGUUGAAGGAUUGAAUUACGGAGAUUGAAGUUCUGUGGUAUGUUUGAUAGAAGUUAAAGUAUUGGUGAACCUGAUGUGUAUUGCUACUGCAGUGUUGGUGUUUCUUUUUAUAAGAAGUUGAAGGAUUUUUUUUUUUUUUUUUAAUAUGUGGUUGAAGUAUUACUGAGGUGAUAUUCGUAUGUUUGAUAGAAACUGAAGUACUGGUAAUUUUUGAUGAUGGAAGUGUUAGUAUCUUUCUUUGGCUAAGUCUGAAGUCAAUUUUGAGUUUGCUUGAGGGACAACGUUAAGGACAUGAGCAAGCUGCACUCGAAAUUAAAUCCAAAAGAGGACUAAUGCUGCUGUUAGUAAAAAGGGAACUGACGUUAAAGAAAUGAAGCUUUUGUUUUUGUACUCUGUUAAUUGGCAAACUUUGGUUAAAAAGAAGUUAUCCCGCCAGUUUGAAAUUCUCCCGCUUUUAGUUGUUCUAACUUCAGAAGGAAGAGUUCAGUUGUAAGUAAAAAUAGUGCUGAAGAUGCAGUUGAUCCGACGAACAAUCUUUUCCUUUAUUGUGUUAGUUUUCUGUACAAUCAACGAUCAUGAUCCUUUUUCACUUGGAUCACCAUCUUUGUACAUAUAAAAAGGCUCUUUUUCUGUUAAAUGAAGUAAGAAGAAAGAUUCUCUGUUUUUCA